rnacentral:antisense_RNA from 1 species
GCGGGGCGGGCGGGGUCUGAGCGUCUGGAGGAAGCUAGAGCUUCGGUGCAGGCCGCCUGCGCGCUGUGCCAGGAAGGCGCUUGGAGAAAAUGUCCGGCCCUGCGACCUGGGACAGGAAAUGAUGGAGCAGGGACUUAGUUUGCCUUUCAGUUCUUGUAUAAGAAGUUUUGAGGGUUGUCUCUGAAUUUUCACCCAGUUGUCUACCAAGAUGUUGAAUGGACCCAGAGCCAAGGACGUGUUCUUUUAUCAGUGGCACCUGAGACUUUCUUCCCUGUGGACGCAAAUCCAUUAUUCAGCACUCUGGGCACAGCUACAGAUCUGAUCAGCUAUCCAUUCUCCAAACUAUCUCAUCCUCUGUCCCAUUUGUCUGUCCCUCUUGUCCACAAGGCAUAUACCUGAGAGUUUUCAAAUUCCUCAAAGAAAUUUAGAUAUUCUGUGGCGUUGGCAUUCACCUAAUGUGUUAAUCUACAAACCUUUUCUACAAUGUAGGUUUUUUUUUCAUGAUGUGAAUUCAAGUGGUUUC